rnacentral:rRNA from 1 species
UACAGAGGUCUCAAGCGUUGUUCGGAUUCAUUGGGCGUAAAGGGUGCGUAGGCGGCGCGGUAAGUCGGGUGUGAAAUCUCGGAGCUUAACUCCGAAACUGCAUUCGAUACUGCCGUGCUUGAGGACUGGAGAGGAGACUGGAAUUUACGGUGUAGCGGUGAAAUGCGUAGAUAUCGUAAGGAAGACCAGUGGCGAAGGCGGGACCCUGGACAGUUCCUGACGCUGAGGCACGAAGGCCAGGGGAGCAAACGGG